AACCAUGAAUUAAGAUAUUAGAAUUCCUACAUCAUCACCACCCAGAGCCAAGAGAGUUUGGUGGUGUUUCAAUUUCAGCCCAAGUUUUCUCUAUUCGUCGUCUCCUUCUCCCUCUCCUCCAUUAUUUCCAUUACAUGACAGUUGAAACGCUUUCUCCCGAUCGUGUACAAUUCAUUUUCGAUUGAGCAUCUUGAGCAGAACUCUGAUCACUAUUAAUUCACUUUCUGAUGGCGUUGAGCACCCAAACUGGGUCUGCAGGUUCAGCUUUCCUAUGGAAGUACGACGUGUUUUUGAGCUUCAGAGGCGAAGACACCCGUAAGGACUUCACAGAUUACUUGUAUGACAAGUUGCAGUGGCGAGGAAUCAGGACUUUCAGGGAUGAUCCACACCUUGAAAUAGGCACAACAAUCUCUCCAGAACUCCUCACUGCAAUCAAGCAAUCCAGGUUUGCGAUCGUUGUUCUUUCGCCAGACUAUGCUAGUUCUACUUGGUGCUUGCUUGAACUGUUAAAGAUCUUUGAAUCCAUGGAGGAGAGAGGGAGAAUUCUGCCAAUCUUUUAUGAGGUGGAACCCUCAGAUGUGAGACAUCAAAGGGGAAGCUUUGCUGAAGCGUUUGAAAAACAUGAAGAGAAGUUUGGGGAAGGUAAUAAGGAGGUGGGAGGGUGGAGGGAUGCCUUAACCAAAGUGGCCAAUCUCGCUGGGUGGAGUUCAAAGGAUUACAGGUAUGAAACAGAGCUUAUCAGAGACAUUGUGCAUGUACUCUGGAGCAGGGUGCAUCCUAGUCUCACUGUAUUUGGGUCCUCAGAGAAGAUAGUUGGAAUGGAUACUAAGCUGGAGGAAAUAGAUGUUCUUUUAGAUAAAGAAGCAAAUGAUGUUCGAUUUAUAGGGAUAUGGGGGAUGGGUGGUCUUGGUAAGACAACCCUUGCUAGACUAGUUUAUGAGAAAAUCUCUCAUCAAUUUGAAGUUUGCAUCUUUCUUGCUGAUGUCAGAGAGGUUUCCGCAACCCACGGUCUAGUUUAUCUACAAAAACAGACUCUUUCCCAAAUCUUGAAGGAAGAAAAUGUUCAAGUAUGGAACGUUUAUAGUGGAAUCACUAUGAUAAAGAGAUGUUUUUGUAAUAAAGCGGUUCUUCUAGUUCUUGAUGAUGUGGAUCAACUAGAGCAACUGGAAAAAUUGGUGGGAGAAAGAGACUGGUUUGGUUCAAGAAGUAGAAUCAUCAUUACAGCUAGAGAUCGGCAUGUCCUAGUCACAUACGGUGUAGAAAAACCAUAUGAGUUGAAGGGAUUAAACGAAGAUGAAGCUCUUGAGCUCUUUAGUUGGAAAGCUUUUAGGAAAUAUGUCCCUGAAGAAGAUUAUGCCAAACUCUCUAAAAGUUUUGUCAUGUAUGCUGGAGGCCUCCCCUUAGCUCUUAAAACUUUGGGGUCUUUCUUGUACCAAAGGAGUCCAGAUGCAUGGAAUUCUGCAUUGCAAAAACUACGGAGUACUCCAAACAAAACAAUUUUCGAAUUGCUAAAAGUGAGUUAUGAUGGACUUGAUGAGAUGGAGAAGAAAAUUUUUCUGGACAUCGCAUGUUAUUCUUCACAAUGUCGAGCCAAGUUUAUUAUUGAACUACUAUAUAGUUCUGACGUUUGCAAUGGUAUUGCAAUAGAUGUUCUUGUUGAGAAAUCUCUCUUAACUAUUUCAUCAGACAAUGAAAUAGGUAUACAUGAUUUGAUACAAGAAAUGGGAUGUGAAAUUGUUCGCCAAGAGUCUUAUGAAGAGCCAGGUGGGCGCAGUCGGUUGUGGCUUCGCAAUGACAUUUUUCAUGUAUUCACAAAUAAUACGGGAACAGGAGCCAUUGAAGGCAUAAUGUUACACUUGGAUAAAUUAGAAGACGCAGAAUGGAAUCUUGAAGCCUUCUCUAAAAUGUGUAAACUGAAGCUGCUCUACAUUCAUAAUUUAAGGCUUUCUCUUGGCCCCAAAUAUCUUCCUAAUGCCUUGAUAUUUCUAAAUUGGAGUUGGUAUCCUUCAAAAUCUCUCCCACCAGCUUUUCAACCGGAUGACCUUACUGAACUUAGUUUGGUGCAUAGCAAUAUUGAUCACCUCUGGAAUGGAAUAAAAUACUUGAGCAAGUUGAAAUCUAUCGACCUUAGUUACUCCUUAAACUUGACAAGGACCCCAGAUUUCACAGGUACUCCAAAUCUUGAGAAGUUGGUUCUUGUAGGUUGUACGAGUUUAGUUAAGAUCCAUCCAUCCAUUGCAUUGCUCAAGAGACUCAAAAUUUGGAAUUUUAGAGACUGCAAAAGUAUCAAGAGUCUACCAAGUGAAGUGCAUAUGGAGUUUCUUGAAAAAUUUAAUUUAUCUGGCUGCUCAAAGCUGAAAAGGAUUCCAGAAUUUGUGGGGCAAAUGAAAAGAUUAUCGCUUUCUUUAGGUGGGAGUGCUGUUGAGAAACUGCCUUCAUCAAUUGAGUUAUUGAGUGAGAGUGUUAUAAGAGAGCAGCAGAAUUUCAUGGUACCAUCUUUUGGCUUCUUUCCAAGAAAGAGUCCUCACCCUUUGAAGCAUUUCUCUUGUUUGAGGGAAUUAAAUCUGAACGACUGUAAUCUCUGUGAAGGAGAUAUUCCCAAUGAUCUUGGUUCUCUGUCCUCCUUAGAGAGGUUGGAACUCAGAGGAAACAAUUUUGUUAGCCUUCCUGCAAGCAUUCAUUUGCUUUCUAAGCUUUGGCUUCAACAAUUGCCAGAACUUCCGGCAAAUCACGACUUAUGACAACUAUUUCCAGUUGACAAUUCCUGGAAGUGAAAUUCCUGUGUGGUUCAGUAAUCAAAGUGUGGGAGGAUCGGUGACUGAGAAGUUCCCUUUGGAUGCAAGUAAUAGCAAGUUGAUUGGAUUUGCUGCAUGUGCUCUAAUUGUACCUCAAGAAAAUCCGUCUGCACACCGUGGUGUAGAUCGUGAUCACCUUUUGUUUGUUGUGCCGCCCUAUGACCUGGAGGACCCAAGCCAUGAAGUUACGUUUGACUUCGAAAUCUUUGGAAGCCUAAACAGAUGCAUGAAGGUGAAGAAAUGUGGGGCCCGUGCACUGUACCAGAACGACAAGGAAGAGCUGAUCAGUAGAAUGAACCAAUCCAAGAGAAGCAUUUCUUUUUACGAGGCUACGGAUGAACAAGAAGGUGCCAUGGUUAAGGCAACAAAAAAGGCAAGGCUUCAUAGAAUGGUUUGAGCAAGUCAGCUAAAGUGCUGUGUGUAAAAAUUUUGUUUAGAGUGUCAAACUGGUGAUGUUACUACUGAAAUUGUCAAUGAUUCAGACAUAACACGCAGAUCAUGUUUUCUAUUGAUCCAUUUCUUGUUUAAGUCUUUAUCUAGAGAAAACGAGAAAAUUUUGAAUCAAUCUUUUUUGUUUACAUCUUGUCUGGAGGUGUGUAUGGUAAAUGAGUAAAAGAUUGAUGUACUAAUAUUAAUGUCAAAGCCAGAAGCAAGCUUA